GCCGGGUGUGGUGGUGCACUCCUGUAAUCCCAGCAGCUCCGGAAGCUUAGACAGGAGGAUUGAGAGUUCAAAGCCAACCUCAGGAAUUUAGCAAGACCCUGUCUCUA
rnacentral:sRNA from 1 species